rnacentral:rRNA from 1 species
GCCUGCGGCCGCGCCACCCUGAAGGCGCCUCAUCUCGUCUGAUCCGGAAGCUAAGCAGGGCCGGGCCUGGUUAGGACUUGGAUGGGAGACCGCCUGGGAAGACCGGGUGCUGUAGGCG